rnacentral:rRNA from 1 species
UACGAAGGGGGCUAGCGUUGUUCAGAAUUACUGGGCGUAAAGCGCACGUAGGCGGAUACUUAAGUCAGGGGUGAAAUCCCGGGGCUCAACCCCGGAACUGCCUUUGAUACUGGGUAUCUCGAGUCCGGAAGAGGUGAGUGGAAUUCCGAGUGUAGAGGUGAAAUUCGUAGAUAUCGUAAGGAAGACCAGUGGCGAAGGCGGGUCUCUGGGCAUUUCCUGACGCUGAGACGCGAAAGCGUGGGGAGCGAACCGG